rnacentral:snRNA from 1 species
UCCAUACAUUUUUAAGUCUUAG